ensembl:ncRNA B0222.14 ncRNA
UUCGCUCACUUUGCAAAACGGCGUAAAGUCAUCACAUCCGUAAGUAGCUCCGCCAGUUGGCUCUGUCGUUCUGCAAAAUGAAAAUUCCAAUAAACUUGCUGCCUUUUCUUUUUCUUCUUUCAACCCACUUUA